ACUCUGACUCUGUGAGGCUCAAAAAUACAUGUGACAAACUCAAGGCCCGCAGGCCAAAUCCGGCCCCUCGCAGAUUUUGAUCCGGCCCGCAUGUCAGUUUAGGUUCACAAUAGACUUGCCUG